AACGAACGCUGGCGGCAGGCUUAACACAUGCAAGUCGAACGCACCUUCGGGUGAGUGGCAGACGGGUGAGUAACGCGUGGGAACCUUCCCUGUGGUACGGAAUAGCUCCGGGAAACUGGAAUUAAUGCCGUAUACGCCCUUCGGGGGAAAGAUUUAUCGCCAUAGGAUGGGCCCGCGUCGGAUUAGCUUGUUGGUAGGGUAAUGGCCUACCAAGGCAACGAUCCGUAGCUGGUCUUAGAGGAUGAUCAGCCACACUGGGACUGAGACACGGCCCAGACUCCUACGGGAGGCAGCAGUGGGGAAUAUUGGACAAUGGGCGAAAGCCUGAUCCAGCCAUGCCGCGUGAGUGACGAAGGCCUUAGGGUUGUAAAACUCUUUUGGCGGGGACGAUAAUGACGGUACCCGCAGAAUAAGCCCCGGCUAACUUCGUG
rnacentral:rRNA from 1 species